UACGUAGGGGGCAAGCGUUGUCCGGAAUCAUUGGGCGUAAAGAGCGUGUAGGCGGUCCGGUAAGUCGGCUGUGAAAGUCCAGGGCUCAACCCUGGGAUGCCGGUCGAUACUGCCGGACUAGAGUUCGGAAGAGGCGAGUGGAAUUCCCGGUGUAGCGGUGAAAUGCGCAGAUAUCGGGAGGAACACCGGUGGCGAAGGCGGCAUCCUGGACCGGCAUUGACGCUGAGGAGCGAAAGCCAGGGGAGCAAACGGG
rnacentral:rRNA from 1 species